AGCAGCCGCGGUAAUUCCAGCUCCAAUAGCGUAUAUUAAAGUUGUUGCAGUUAAAAAAGCUCGUAGUUGAAUUUCGGGGUUAGUAGGUUGGUCAUGCCACUGGUAUGUACUGGUCUCACUGAUUCCUCCUUCCUGAUGAACUGUAAUGCCAUUAAUUUGGUGUUGCAGGGAAUCUGGACUGUUACUUUGAAAAAAUUAGAGUGUUUAAAGCAGGCUAACGCCUGAAUACAUUAGCAUGGAAUAAUGAAAUAGGACGUUCGAUCCUAUUUUGUUGGUUUCUAGGAUUGACGUAAUGAUUAAUAGGGAUAGUUGGGGGCAUUAGUAUUCAAUUGUCAGAGGUGAAAUUCUUGGAUUUAUUGAAGACUAACUACUGCGAAAGCAUUUGCCAAGGAUGUUUUCAUUAAUCAAGAACGAAAGUUAGGGGAUCGAAGAC
rnacentral:rRNA from 1 species